GAUAGCAAGCUCUGCUACACAUAAAUACAUUGUAUGGGCACCAACAUUUAUGAACAAAUGUUGGAGUCUAAAAAUGAAAUAGGAAUACAACAGUGAUGCCUGUAUUACAUCUGCUAAUUUAUGCUUAAUUUCAGAGUGAGGAAGAAACCAUCAAUAGCUUAGUAGAACUUGUUAACAUUAUCAACAUUGAUGCUCACAAAGCCAAGCAUUACUAUCACCCUCUGUUUCAAAGCAUUGUCAAGGUCAAUUAUUUCCCAAGCAGUUACAAACAAAUUGAGAAGCUGCUUGCUGAUGAUGCCGGUGCUAUCUUGGAGGAGGAGGUCAGUUAGAGAAUGUUUCUGGGGUGAACCAUUUUUGCUUUUAUGCCAAGAGCAUCUGCAGGCAUACAGCAUAGCAUUUCUAUAUAUAUACACAGUUUUU